rnacentral:pre_miRNA from 1 species
AGGCGUGGUGGAGAGGGUAGACGGGGACGAGGCGGAGCAUGAGAUGGGCACUUCAACUUUCGGGGUUAAGUUGUUGUCCUUUCCAUGCACUGCCUCUUCCCUGGCUCUCCUUUCCUCCAUUAUUU